AUGGUCUGCCGGCUGUUGGACGAGUGAGAAACCGUAUGGAUAGGCGAAGGGCAUGCGAAAGGCCCGGCGUAGAGGGUAAGACCCCCGUAGCUGAAAUCUGUACGGCUCGUUUAUGGAACACCCAAGUAGCAUGGGGCCCGAGAAAUCCUGUGUGAAUCUGGCGGGACCACCCGUCAAGCCUAAAUAUUCCCUGGUGACCGAUAGCGGAUAGUACCGUGAGGGAAUGGUGAAAAGUACCGCGGGAGCGGAGUGAAACAGUACCUGAAACCGUGUGCCUACAAGCCGUGGGAGCGUCGCAUCAAGUGCUUGCACUUGGUGUCGUGACUGCGUGCCUUUUGAAGAAUGAGCCUGCGAGUUUGCGGCAUGUUGCGAGGUUAACCCGUGUGGGGGAGCCGUAGCGAAAGCGAGUCCUAAGAGGGCGUUUGAGUAGCGUGUUCAAGACCCGAAGCGGAGUGAUCUAGCCAUGGGCAGGGUGAAGCGGAGGUAAGACUUCGUGGAGGCCCGAACCCACCAGGGUUGAAAACCUGGGGGAUGACCUGUGGUUAGGGGUGAAAGGCCAAUCAAACUCCGUGAUAGCUGGUUCUCCCCGAAAUGCAUUUAGGUGCAGCGUCGUGUGUUUCUUGCCGGAGGUAGAGCACUGGAUAGGCGAUGGGCCCUACCGGGUUACUGACCUUAGCCAAACUCCGAAUGCCGGUAAGUGAGAGCGCGGCAGUGAGACUGUGGGGGAUAAGCUCCAUGGUCGAGAGGGAAACAGCCCAGAGCAUCGACUAAGGCCCCUAAGCGUGUGCUAAGUGGGAAAGGAUGUGGAGUCGCAGAGACAACCAGGAGGUUGGCUUAGAAGCAGCCAUCCUUGAAAGAGUGCGUAAUAGCUCACUGGUCAAGUGAUUCCGCGCCGAUAAUGUAGCGGGGCUCAAGCACACCGCCGAAGUCGUGUCAUUCCAGCAAUACUUCUAACGAGGGCUGGGAUGGGUAGGGGAGCGUCGUGUGCCGGGUGAAGCAGCCGUGGAAACGAGUUGUGGACGGUUCACGAGUGAGAAUGCAGGCAUGAGUAGCGAUACAUGCGUGAGAAACGUGUGCGCCGAUUGACUAAGGGUUCCUGGGUCAAGCUGAUCUGCCCAGGGUAAGUCGGGACCUAAGGCGAGGCCGACAGGCGUAGUCGAUGGAGAACCGGUUGAUAUUCCGGUACCCGCUAUGAAGCGUCAAACAUUGAAUCAGGCGAUGCUAAGUCCGUGAAGCCGCCCUGAGCUCUUCGGAGUGUAGGGGAGUGGUGGAUCCGACGGUCCAGACUUGUAGUAGGUGAGUGAUGGGGUGACGCAGUGAGGUAGUCCAGCCCGGGCGGUGGUUGUCCCGGGGUAAGGGUGUAGCCCGGAGGGUAGGUAAAUCCGUCCUCCGUUA
rnacentral:rRNA from 1 species